rnacentral:lncRNA from 1 species
AGUGGCUGAAAAUUGGGUGUUAACAAGAGCUAAGAAUAAUUUGAACAUAGAACAAACUUCUGAUUUGUGCCGCAAAAAGUAAACCCGCGUAUAUCUGCUGUAGUCAUCGAUAAACGUCACAAAAUAUUUGUGUUGACCAUGAGAAAUGAUAGGACUAAUACCCCAAACAUCACUAUGAAUUAUUUCAAAUGCGUAAGUUGCUCUACUUCCUUCAGAAGGAAAAGGUAAAAUCUUACUUUUGCCCAGUUUUCAAGUUGUACACACAGGAAAAAUAGUGGAAGAAGAAUGCUCUUUAUUAGAUAACAGACCAGAUUUCAAUAAAUAAGAUAGAAUCCUAGAAUUAGGAUGGCCAAGACGCUUAUGCCAUACUUCAUUUGACACUUUAGACUCAUUACAAAGUAAAGACAGGACUGAGGAAGAUAAGCUACGUGGAACAGGUAAUUGCAGAGAGAAGAGACGUCCGUGCUUAGGCCCCUUUGCUAUCACCUGCCCUGACAUCUGAUCCUGUACAAUACAACCAUCAUUAGUAAAAUGUACAUUAUAGUUUUGGUCCACAAGCUGGCCGACAGAUAUCAAAUUCACAGAGAGAUUUGGUGACACCAGAACAUCAUUAAAGUUAGAUGAUACAUCACCAACUGCCUCAAUGGGUAGAACACUACCAUUGGCUGUUUGAAUAUGUGAUGAGCCAACAUAUUU